CCUACGGGAGGCAGCAGUGAGGAAUAUUGGUCAAUGGGCGGAAGCCUGAACCAGCCAAGUAGCGUGAAGGAAGACGGCCCUACGGGUUGUAAACUUCUUUUGUCGGGGAAUAACCGUCGGCACGUGUGCCGACCUGCAUGUACCCGGUGAAUAAGGACCGGCUAAUUCCGUGCCAGCAGCCGCGGUAAU
rnacentral:rRNA from 1 species